UACGUAGGGGGCUAGCGUUGUCCGGAAUCAUUGGGCGUAAAGCGCGUGUAGGCGGUCCGGUAAGUCCGCUGUGAAAGUCGGGGGCUCAACCCUCGAAAGCCGGUGGAAACUGUCGGGCUAGAGUACGGAAGAGGCGAGUGGAAUUCCUGGUGUAGCGGUGAAAUGCGCAGAUAUCAGGAGGAACACCAAUUGCGAAGGCAGCUCGCUGGGACGUUACUGACGCUGAGACGCGAAAGCGUGGGGAGCAAACAGG
rnacentral:rRNA from 1 species